rnacentral:rRNA from 1 species
GGUGAGUAAUACAUAGGAAUCUACCCAAUGGAGGGGGAUAGCUCGAGGAAACUCGAAUUAAUACCGCAUAAUCUCCACGGAGUAAAGAGGGCUUCGGCUCUCGCCAUCGGAUGAGCCUAUGCAGGAUUAGCUUGUUGGUGAGGUAAAGGCUUACCAAGGCGACGAUCCUUAGCUGGUUUGAGAGGAUGACCAGCCACAUCGGGACUGAGACACGGCCCGGACUUCUACGGAAGGCAGCAGUAGGGAAUAUUGGACAAUGAGCGAAAGCUUGAUCCAGCCAUGCCGCGUGUGCGAUGACGGCCCUCGGGUUGUAAAGCACUUUAGGUAACGAGGAAAAGUUAGGUGUUAAUACCAUCUAACCUUGACGUUAA